rnacentral:antisense_RNA from 2 species
CUUCAGCGAUCCCAGCCAGAGCGGCUCGCCGGUGCGGUUCCGGCCGUAGGCGGCCAGCAGCGCGUUGGCCUC